rnacentral:rRNA from 1 species
GAUGAACGCUGGCGGCGUGCCUAAUACAUGCAAGUCGAGCGAACGGACGAGAAGCUUGCUUCUCUGAUGUUAGCGGCGGACGGGUGAGUAACACGUGGAUAACCUACCUAUAAGACUGGGAUAACUUCGGGAAACCGGAGCUAAUACCGGAUAAUAUUUUGAACCGCAUGGUUCAAAAGUGAAAGACGGUCUUGCUGUCACUUAUAGAUGGAUCCGCUCUGCAUUAGCUAGUUGGUAAGGUAACGGCUUACCAAGGCAACGAUGCAUAGCCGACCUGAGAGGGUGAUCGUCCACACUGGAACUGAGACACGGUCCAGACUCCUACGGGAGGCAGCAGUAGGGAAUCUUCCGCAAUGGGCGAAAGCCUGACGGAGCAACGCCGCGUGAGUGAUGAAGGUCUUCGGAUCGUAAAACUCUGUUAUUAGGGAAGAACAUAUGUGUAAGUAACUGUGCACAUCUUGACGGUACCUAAUCAGAAAGCCACGGCUAACUACGUG